GAACUCUAUUGUGGCAGGCACCAGAAAUGAAUACGACAUUGAGGGAAACGACUGAGGUCAGGGAGGGGAGGAGCAUGGUGGGAGCAGAAUGGGGUACAGGCUCAGCAGUCACAACAGCUGCUCAACGGGGACAGGAAGUUCGGAAGGGAUACUUCCUGGUGGGACAGCGAGCAAUCCUGCCAGGCCAUGGAGGGGCUGGACAACCAGGAAGUUCUGCCUUGGACCAGGAAAAUGGGCUUCCCCUCAUCUCAGAGAAGGACAUGCUCAGUCCUGAUCCUUGCAGCUCUGACAGAAGGCGGAGGCCAACUGACUGAGGGAUUGUCUGUUCUUCGCUGCCACUGCCCUGAACUACCUUGGCUAUCAUGUUCACUCUCCAUGGAUGGAUUUCUGGUCCCAGGUAUGACAUCUGCUUGGUUCAGUCUGAGAAGCUGCAGGGACUCAUCUGCGACUGAAGUUGUCUGGGGAGAUGUCACUUCCUUCUGCCCAGAGGAAAGGCUGCAGGGCAAGACACGGUAGAAUAGAUGUGACUGUACACUCAGCCCUUGUCCCCAGAGAACUACCUUGGGCUACAUUUAGGGGCAGCUGUGGCCAGUAGCCAAGCAGAAGACAGGGUCUUGGUCCCUCUUCAAUCAGCUGCUUCUCAAGCAGGGCCUGUGCCUCAGAUGGAGUAGUUGCUACAGGGUCAUGGGUGGAGCCUGGGAGCUUCUGACCCUUCACCUUGCUGCCCAGGCCCACCAUCAUGUGAGGCACAGCCAGCCUGCCUCUUAGUGCCCUGGGUAAACUCUAGAGGUUCAAAAGGAGGAACUCUGGUUGGAGACAGCUUCAGACUCCUAGGAGUUUCCCAAGCAGCAAGUGCUGUAGAUCAGGAACAGGUAUGCUAUCUUGGCCUAGCCUGCACCCUGCUGACAGGCACAGAGAGGAAGGGCACAGAGGUUCUGUUCUUGCCAAGGCUGGUGAGAGGCACCAAAGAAAGCUCUAGAAGAUCCCAUCUCUUGCAGGCCAUCCUGAGGCAGGUGCUUCACAGAGGUGGCUCAUUCAGUCUCCAUCCCCACCCUUGAGGUGGAGGGAGGGAGCCCAGGAACUAAGGGCUAGGGCUUGGGUGAUAAUAGACCCCCCAGGGCUGGCAGCGGGUGUCUGAGGAAGAAGGGACGGCCAGGCUGAGAACCAUCUCCAGACCACUCCACCCCGACAAUGCUGCUUGGCAGGACAGAACACACUGUUUCCGGCAUGGGGAAGCCAGGAAGAUCCCUAUGGGGAAGGAAGCUCUGCUGCUCUUUCGUGUGGUCAAGGGACGCCCUUCACACCUCUCCAAGCACGGGCAGGAACCUCACCAUCUUUUGCUGCAAAUGGCCUUGGGGGCCAGGCCUCAGAAAGAAUUCAGAUGUUACUGACCAUAGAAGAACCCUACAGUAGUCCCAGAGACUGGUGUGGUCACAGACAUGCCGCCUGCUUACCCUGUGCCAUGCUGCCACCCGAGUGCUCUGCCACUUCACACCCACAGGAGCACUCUAGGAAGCUCCUUGUGCCCACACCCCUGCCAACCAGAGCCAGUAUGUAUGGCUGCUGCCUGUUCUUCCCUGGAGCUCAGGACAGCUCUGGUCCUCUCCCGUCCCUUCUCUCCUUCCAUCCUCAUGGAACUCAGGACAGCUCUACCCUCCCCUGCCCUUCCUGGGAAAAGCUGAGUGUAAUGGAAUCCAAAGGCGGAAGGCAAAUACGUGAAAGGCUUGUCGAGCCCCAGACCCUUGCCACCAAUGAUGACAAACAUGACACAGAGAAGCCAGGUGAAAAGACUGGGAGUGCCCACCUUCAGCAGCUGAGCGCGAACCUGGAGCUCCUGUUGCAAGUGGGCCAUAGACCUCUGCACAUCGAGGAUAG